UACGUAGGUGGCAAGCGUUGUCCGGAUUUACUGGGCGUAAAGAGCGCGCAGGCGGUCGUUCAAGUCGCGUGUGAAAGCCCCCGGCUCAACUGGGGAGGGUCACGCGAUACUGAUCGACUCGAAGGCAGGAGAGGGUAGUGGAAUUCCCGGUGUAGUGGUGAAAUGCGUAGAUAUCGAGAGGAACACCUGCGGCGAAGGCGGGUAGCUGGGCCGACACUGACGCUGAGGCGCGAAAGCCAGGGGAGCGAACGGG
rnacentral:rRNA from 1 species